rnacentral:rRNA from 1 species
GAUGAACGCUGGCGGCGUGCCUAAUACAUGCAAGUCGAGCGAACGGACGAGAAGCUUGCUUCUCUGAUGUUAGCGGCGGACGGGUGAGUAACACGUGGAUAACCUACCUAUAAGACUGGGAUAACUUCGGGAAACCGGAGCUAAUACCGGAUAAUAUUUUGAACCGCAUGGUUCAAAAGUGAAAGACGGUCUUGCUGUCACUUAUAGAUGGAUCCGCGCUGCAUUAGCUAGUUGGUAAGGUAACGGCUUACCAAGGCAACGAUGCAUAGCCGACCUGAGAGGGUGAUCGGCCACACUGGAACUGAGACACGGUCCAGACUCCUACGGGAGGCAGCAGUAGGGAAUCUUCCGCAAUGGGCGAAAGCCUGACGGAGCAACGCCGCGUGAGUGAUGAAGGUCUUCGGAUCGUAAAACUCUGUUAUGAGGGAAGAACAUAUGUGUAAGGAACUGUGCACAUCUUGACGGUACCUAAUCAGAAAGCCACGGCUAACUACGUG